UUAAAUUGAAGAGUUUGAUCAUGGCUCAGAUUGAACGCUGGCGGCAGGCCUAACACAUGCAAGUCGAACGGUAACAGGAAGCAGCUUGCUGCUUUGCUGACGAGUGGCGGACGGGUGAGUAAUGUCUGGGAAACUGCCUGAUGGAGGGGGAUAACUACUGGAAACGGUGGCUAAUACCGCAUAACGUCGCAAGACCAAAGAGGGGGACCUUCGGGCCUCUUGCCAUCAGAUGUGCCCAGAUGGGAUUAGCU
rnacentral:rRNA from 6 species